rnacentral:rRNA from 1 species
UACGAAUCGUCCAAACGUUGUUCGGAUUCACUGGGUUUAAAGGGCGCGUAGGCGGUGCGUUAAGUCGGCGGUGAAAUACUUCGGCUCAACCGGAGAAUUGCCGCUGAAACUGGCGUGCUCGAGGGUGGUAGAGGUGCGUGGAACUUCCGGUGGAGCGGUGAAAUGCGUUGAUAUCGGAAGGAACACCUGUGGCGAAAGCGAUGCACUGGACCUCUUCUGACGCUGAGGCGCGAAAGCCAGGGUAGCGAACGGG